GACAGAGGUGCCGAGCGUUAGGCGGAAUCACUGGGCUUAAAGCGUGUGUAGGCGGGUCGUUAAGUGUCUUGUGAAAUCCCACCGCUCAACGGUGGAACUGCUGGGCAUACUGGCGAUCUUGAGCCACCUAGGGGCAGACGGAACAAGCGGUGGAGCGGUGAAAUGCGUAGAUAUCGCUUGGAACGCCGACGGUGAAAACAGUCUGCUGGGGGUGUGCUGACACUGAGAGACGAAAGCUAGGGGAGCAAAUGGG
rnacentral:rRNA from 1 species